GUGAACGCUGGCGGUAGGCCUAACACAUGCAAGUCGAACGGCAGCACAGUAAGAGCUUGCUCUUACGGGUGGCGAGUGGCGGACGGGUGAGGAAUACAUCGGAAUCUACUUUUUCGUGGGGGAUAACGUAGGGAAACUUACGCUAAUACCGCAUACGACCUACGGGUGAAAGCAGGGGAUCUUCGGACCUUGCGCGAUUGAAUGAGCCGAUGUCGGAUUAGCUAGUUGGCGGGGUAAAGGCCCACCAAGGCGACGAUCCGUAGCUGGUCUGAGAGGAUGAUCAGCCACACUGGAACUGAGACACGGUCCAGACUCCUACGGGAGGCAGUAGUGGGGAAUAUUGGACAAUGGGCGCAAGCCUGAUCCAGCCAUACCGCGUGGGUGAAGAAGGCCUUCGGGUUGUAAAGCCCUUUUGUUGGGAAAGAAAAGCAGCAGGUUAAUACCCCGCUGUUCUGACGGUACCCAAAGAAUAAGCACCGGCUAACUUCGUG
rnacentral:rRNA from 1 species